rnacentral:sRNA from 1 species
UAUUCUGCCCCAUGGGGAAGGAUGAGAAGCUUCGACUAAGGUUCGACUCGAGCGCCAGCGAGAGAACGUUGCCGCAGGCAACGGCCCGAAGGGCGAGGCGCUUUAGCGCCGAGUAAUCCUUCCCCCACCACUG